UUCAUACUGAUUGGAAAUGCAACAAUUUAAAUUAAUAUGGUGGCUAAUGGAAAAAUUAUGACCAUUCAGCUUCAGCUGCGUGCUGGUGCGACAACAAUAAUCAAUAAAAGUUACUAAUUGCCUAUCUGAAGUUCAACAAAAUCGAAUUGACUCGCGAAAAAGCUGCCAAAGUGUUCAGUAAUCAACCAAUUAGCUUAAAUUGUUGUGUCGACAGUGCCGCUUACAUAAUAGAAUGUAUAAUUAUCUGAAAUUCAUCUGUGCAUAUGGUUGGUUUUUUUGGCAGGCUGUUUGGUAGCUGAUCGGCAGGUGAGCGCCGCCGGAGCUUUAGAUAACUGACUGAAACACCCAAGAAUGAACUACCUGCUUUGGAUGGAUUGUAGACGAUAUUCCUUGCAAUCUGUAGCAGAAAUGGCUGAAAUCCUACGUUUCAAUAUUUUGGUACUGUAACUAAUAAGAAUGGGAUGUUGACUCAAAAAA